ensembl:lncRNA
CUCUAAUACCUUAUUAUUACCUAUCCUGAUGCCUGGUCACUUUACCCUGCCUUCAGAUACAUAUCUACCUCUAAUACCUUAUUAUUAUCUAUCCUGAUGCCUGGUCACUUUACCCUGCCUUCAUGUACACAUCUACCUCAAAUACCUUAUUAGUAUCUAUCCUGAUGCCGAGUCACUUUACCCUGCCUUCAUGUACAUAUCUACCUCGAAUACAGUACCUUGUACCUCUGCAUAUCCAGCGUAACCUAGUGGUUAGAGCAUUGGACUAGUAACUGAAAGGUUGCAAGAUCAAAUCCCUGAGCUGACAAGGUACACAUUUGUCGUUCUACCCCUGAACAAGGCAGUUAACCCACUGUUCCCCGGUAGGCCAUCAUUGAAAAUAAAGAGUUUUUUUCUUAACUGACUUGCCUAGUAAAAUAUUGAUCUGGUACUGGUACUCCCUGAGUAUAGCUCCAUUAUUGUGUAUUUCAUUUGGCUUACUUAGGGCUUGUAAGUAAACAUUUCACAGUAAAGUAUACAUCGGUUGUAUUGCACCUGACAAACAAAUGUCAAUUUGAUUUGGGAUCAACUUAAUUAAUGACCUAUUAUUGUUGUUAUUGCUCUUAUAGAGGCACAGCGGUCUAAAGGCCCUGCAUCUCAGUGCAAUAGGCGUCACUACAGUCACAGGUUCGAAUCCAGGCUGUAUCCCAUCCGGCCGUGAUUGGGAGUCCCAUAGGGCGGGGCACAUUUGGACCAGCAUCGUCCGGGUUUGGCUGUUCCUAGGCCGUCAUUCUAAAUAAGAAUUUGUUCUUAACUGACUUGCCUAGUUACACAAAUGUUACAUUUCAAAUAAAUAAAUAACAAUGAGUGAGAGGGAACAUGCACGUAGCAUUUUGUUGGACCGUGACUAACAUGUGUAUUGCGUGUCUAUGACAAAAAUAGACGUAAUCUUGAAUUAUUGAUCACCUGAUCUGCCUAUUCAUGUUAUGACUACUGCAGUAGUAUAUGUGUUGAUUAUUACGUAUCAUUCAGAGUAAUUUAUGUCUCUGGGCUGUCGUGUGUGUGUGUGUGUGUGUGUGUGUGUGUGUGUGUGUGCGUGCGUGUGUGUU